ACUUAUAUGGGCAUUGGUUACUUCCCCUUUGCUCAUAUUGGGUAGGGUUGCCGGUAAAAGCAGCAUAACUGAAUUCCAAGCUCCAUGCCAUACCAACAAGCACCCAAGAGAAAUUCCUGAUUUGGCAUGGUGUCGAGGAACCAACCUCAGAUGGCAAUGGCAGGAUUCCUUCCUUUUAGUGCCAUCUAUGUACAAGUAGAACUGUACUAUAUAUUUGCUAGAGUGUGGGGUCACAACAUAUAUACAAUAUAUAGUAUGCUUUUUAUUGUUUUCAUCAUUCUUAUAAUUGGCACAGCGUUCAUCACUGUUGCAUUGACAUAUUUCCAACUUGCAGCAGAGGAUCAUGGGUGGUGGUGGAGGGUACCGAAGAUGAUGUAGUGAAUUGGCUUCAUGGACAUGGUUUAUGGAAACUAGCGGAAGAACCAUACGAUCCCUUAUGGAUCAAAGGAGGAGGUCAUUGCAACCUAGAGUUAUAUCCAGACUACAUCCGUCACCUAUGCAAGUUUAUUCGGGAAAUGGAGAACCUCACGACUGCAACCCAGCUCAAGAAGAUUCGGCAAACUCUCAAACUCCCUGCCAAAGCUGCUGCAACCACCAGCACCACCAUCUUCACGACCAACUGUUGCUGCCAAAUUAGAUGCAGGAAACCCGAUUGCUGGAGCUGCCCACGGAGAGGAUGUCUGAUGGUGCGAUGCUCCAAGGGAUCUGCAUACCUGUGCAACUGGUGUUGUGGAGAUUGGCAUUGAUGGUGGCAUCCGUUGUACAGAUUUACUCAAACUUCUAAACCUAUCUAUUGUAUCGAAACAUUAAUGAAGGCAAUCGGGCUAUCGUUUGUGUACGAAUUAAGAGAAUAGAUACCGGUUUUUUUGAACUGAAUCUUCACUGAUGAUCUCUAUGCUGUUGAAAUAUCAAUUUGUUGGUAUUAUGUAGUCAUUGCCAAUUUGGCGUUGGUGUG